UCGUAAACGAGGGAGGCUACGUGCCCCGCUCCUUACCUUGCCUACUGCACUAUCUGUUGCUUCCUGGCGGCGGACUGCCUGCCGCCAGGGACAUUUUAAGGCCCUUGUAUCAGCAUUGAAACUCUGAAGCAAACCGAAUCGUA
rnacentral:misc_RNA from 1 species